rnacentral:lncRNA from 1 species
CCUGCUCGGUGAAGAUGCAGAGGUCUCAGCGGACUUUGACAUGGAAGGUGAUGUCGACGACUACAGUGCUGAGGUGGAGGAGCUUCUUCCUCAGCACCUCCAGCCAUCCUCCAGCUCUGGCCUCGGCACCUCUCCAAGCUCUUCGCCCCGGACCAGUCCCUGCCAGUCACCCACAGCACCAGAGUACUCCGCACCUUCUCUUCCCAUCAGACCUAGUCGAGCACCAUCAAGAACUCCAGGACCUCUAAGUUCACAGGGUGCUCCAGUUGACACCCAGCCAGCAGCCCAGAAGGAGUCUUCCCAGACCAUAGAGCCCAAGAGGCCACCCCCUCCCCGCCCAGUUGCUCCUCCAGCACGUCCUGCCCCACCACAGAGGCCACCUCCACCUUCAGGGCGUAAUCAGCCUUCCCCUCAAGCCGGACUUGCAGGCCCAGGACCUUCUGGAUAUGGUGCAGCUAGACCGACAAUUCCAGCUCGUGCUGGAGUGAUCAGUGCCCCUCAGAGCCAGGCUCGGGUGUCUGCUGGAAGGCUGACUCCUGAAAGCCAAAGCAAACCCUUGGAGACAUCGAAAGGUCCUGCUGUCCUUCCAGAACCACUGAAGCCUCAGGCUGCAUUUCCUCCGCAGCCUUCUCUGCCCACACCUGCUCAAAAGUUACAGGACCCACUUGUCCCCAUAGCAGCACCUAUGCCUCCCUCCAUUCCCCAAUCGAAUUUGGAAACUCCACCCCUGCCCCCACCUCGGAGCAGGUCAUCUCAAAGCUUGCCUUCAGACUCCUCACCACAGCUACAACAGGAGCAACCAACAGGGUAACAGCAGGUAAAAAUAAAUGGAGCUUGUGGUGUCAAACAAGAGCCAACAUUGAAGAGUGACCCAUUUGAAGACCUCUCACUUAGUGUGCUUGCUGUAUCCAAGGCUCAGCCUUCUGCUCAGAUUUCACCUGUUCUAACCCCAGACCCAAAGAUGUUGAUUCAGUUGCCUUCUGCAUCGCAAAGUAAAGUUAACUCUUUGAGUUCUGUAAGUUGCAUGCUAACCAUGCCUCCAGUUCCAGAGCAAAGCAAGUCACAGGAAAGUGUGGGGAGUUCUGCAAACCCAUUUCCCAGCCUGCCUACCAGGAACCCUUUUACAGACAGGACUGCUGCCCCUGGAAACCCAUUUAGAGUUCAGUCUCAAGAAUCAGAGGCAACUUCUUGGCUAUCCAAAGAAGAGCCUGUUUCUAACAGUCCUUUCCCUCCUCUCAU